AUUAGUGCAAUGGAUAGCACGUUGAACUUCAAAUCCCAAAGUCGUGGGUUCGAAUGCCUCCAGGAAUG